rnacentral:rRNA from 1 species
UAAUACAGAGGGUGCGAGCGUUGUCCGGAAUCACUGGGCGUAAAGGGCGCGUAGGCGGUCUGCUAAGCGUGUGGUGAAAGCCCGGGGCUCAACCCCGGGUCGGCCGUGCGAACUGGCGGACUGGAGCUUGUCAGAGGCAGGCGGAAUUCCGGGUGUAGCGGUGGAAUGCGUAGAGAUCCGGAAGAACACCGGUGGCGAAGGCGGCCUGCUGGGAC